UGGAUGGGUUAAGAUUGAAAUCCCCCUUCAGUCUUGAUCAUCCACUCCUUAGAGGCUCUUAUAGUGUGAUCUUAUCUGGUCCUUUUUGAGUUUCAUGACAGAUCUGAAUUUCAAGGUCCAUGCCCUUGAUUUCCUUAUUUUUAUAAUGAAAUUUUGCUAACAAUUAUUGAAAGAGGACAAAAGAUUAUCGCAAAUGAAUGGAACUUGAUUACACCAAAAAGAAGGGCAUAAGAUCAUUUAUAUACUGAGGGGAUGUUUGUAAUUUUAGGAAGUUGACUUCUUCAGAUUUUUCUUCGUUUGAGGAAAUAUGUUCUCAUAAAGUAAUAUUUUGAUAAAAAAAAAUUGACCCAAACAGAGAAUGAUGGUGUGCAGUUUUAAUGUUGGAUGUAGCUACUGAGAGCUUAUAUUUUAUAAGCUCGUUGGAUUUGUUAACAGGCUUUGCAUCCUACCCAACUUUUUGACAAUUUUUGCCUAUCCGAGAAACCAAAUGAUCUGAUAUUAAGGUGAUUUUGUCAGAGUUCUCCUAUAGUUUUCAUGCGUUCUCAAGGAAAUCUCUGACCAAGAGACUGAGGAAAGGCUGCAGUCAAUUGUCUCUCUCUUUGUUGCCUGGCUCUUGUUUGAGUAUAAUUUCAUGCAUUCUCAAAUCUCUAACCAAAGAUAACAUGAGGGUAUGUCUGUUUUACCGUCCAUUGGUAUGUCUUCAUUGACCGGCUCUAGUUUGAGUUAAUUUUUUUUAAGGCAGUUGAAUUGUCCUUUCAAUAGGUGGAUAUAUUGAGCACUAAGCAGAGUAGGAUGACAUUACUUGUAGGGUGACCAAACAUCAAAGGCGUUACUUUGAAUUAAUACGCUCGUGCACUAAAUAGGCAUGGCUGUUGCUUGGUCAAGCAUGUACGGUCUAUUCUCCCAUGGUUAAAAAAUAUUCUAUUUGCAUUUGCCUUUUCUUUCUGUGUGUCCUUUUUCUUUUUAAUAUUUCUUCUGUUAAUGAUCUGCAAAUGUAAUUUCCGUUUAUUUAUCAAGCUUUAGGAGCUCUAAUGAUAAAAAAGGGAUGUGUUUUAUGCUGUAUCAAAAUUCAUAUUUGAUGUUGUGCGGGAACUGUUGCUUAUAAUUUAUUGGGUAAAUUACAACUUAAUCCCUGAGAUUUAAUAAAAAGCCUAUAUUUUCAAAAUGUAACAGUAUAGUCCAUGAGUUUUUAUCCAUCAGACAAUAGCUCUUCCUUAUAAAAAAAACCCAAAAUACGGUUAAUGAUUGUGAAAUGAUAAAGAGGACCUUAGGGCUAAUUUAGUAGUCUUCUUUUUCCUCCAUAAACCAAACUUUUUUGGACACAUAACCUAUUGCAAGGAGAUGCAUUAUUACUUGUAAAUUCCUUGGGCAAAAUGGAGUUGUAAGAUUCAAAGCCAUAAUUACUCAAUAAUUAAAUAAGCUAACUAACAUAUUCUCUUCAUGGAUACCAAAAUCCGCCCAUCCUUCUCUUUCCUUUCUCUCUACAACAUCGAAAACCCAAAUAACCUCCUCCCUUGUUGUUGAGAACCCACAGUAAAGAUUGAGAACACGAAGUUGUUCUUCUCUUCAGUCAAUGGUUCUUCAGCAUCUAUAUUGUGUUUCAAAACUGGUUUCAUAAAGGUUAAUGGAGUCAAGUUCUUGUUCUUUCCACUUUAGGCAUUUACAUGCUUCUCUUUUGGCGGAUUGUUUCCUCCUGAGGAAGAGAGUUACUGUAGAUUUGUGAUCAUGGGUAGCUUCACAGGUUGUAAUUUAUGUUUAAUAUUUCUGCUGGCAUUUCAAAGACUGGACCAUUUCUAGGCAAGAAAGUACCUAUCUUUGUUAAAAUGACUAUAAUAUCCUAAAUGGCCUGCAUGUAAGUUACACAUGAUUUAAUGAAUUCUUAAUGCAAUAACUAAUCUGAUUGAAC
rnacentral:misc_RNA from 1 species